AAUGACGAAGGAGAUUAUCUGAGUGUAGCUAUGACACUUUUGAAAUGCCGUGCUUUUAAUCACAUGAUUGGAGCUCAUAUGUUAGAACUUCAUGCAACAGAUGAUGAAAGGAGGAUGAAAAUAGUGGAGAUUGGUGGUGCUGAGGCGCUUGUAAAUGUGUUGAGGGAUAAUAGAGGCAGAG